CCUACGGGUGGCAGCAGUAGGGAAUCUUCCACAAUGGGCGAAAGCCUGAUGGAGCAACGCCGCGUGGGUGAAGAAGGUCUUCGGAUCGUAAAACCCUGUUGGUAGAGAAGAAAGUGCGAGAGAGUAACUGUUCACGUGUAGACGGUAUCGAACCAGAAAGCGCCGGCUAACUACGUGCCAGCAGCCGCGGUAAUACGUAGGUGGCAAGCGUUAUCCGGAUUUAUUGGGCGUACAGGGAACGCAGGCGGUCUUUUAAGUCUGAUGUGAAAGCCUUCGGCUUAACCGGCGGAGUGCAUUGGAAACUGGGAGACUUGAGUGCAGAAGAGGCGAGUGGAACUCCAUGUGUAGCGGUGAAAUGCGUAGAUAUAUGG
rnacentral:rRNA from 1 species